UACGGAGGGGGCUAGCGUUGUUCGGAAUUACUGGGCGUAAAGCGUACGUAGGCGGCUUUGUAAGUUAGAGGUGAAAGCCCGGGGCUCAACCCCGGAACUGCCUUUAAGACUGCAUCGCUUGAACGUCGGAGAGGUGAGUGGAAUUCCGAGUGUAGAGGUGAAAUUCGUAGAUAUUCGGAAGAACACCAGUGGCGAAGGCGGCUCACUGGACGACUGUUGACGCUGAGGUACGAAAGCGUGGGGAGCAAAC
rnacentral:rRNA from 1 species